UUCAAGGACAUUGGCAGAUGUAGAGGAGGCAAUGAGGACGGAGAUGAUUGCGGUGCACAAUUUAAAUAAACCAGAAUAUCCUAAAAAUUAUAUUUGGUGUAUAGAAUUCAGUUUUAGUCUUUGAGUACAUUUUCAUGAUUCACUAACUCCUGUAGUGAGUAAAAAUAUAUAAAACUACAUGACUUGUAAAUUUUUGUGUCCGUCGUGCGUCCCAACGAUUCCACCGGCAUCGGCCCUCCCCUACCCUGGUGCGGACUAUAGUAUUAGCUGUCUCCUUGGAGUCCUGAAGCAGCUCAAGGGCAUUGUCCUUGGUGCGCCUCCUCAAGGCUUGAUGCUUUCUACAGGAAAAAAAUGGUUCUUUUCUUUGAGAUGAGGAAAAUUACUUCCCUUUCUACAGGAAAAGAUGGUUAUGUUAGAUAAAUGUCUUCCCAAGUUAAAGGCACAUGGCUCUGAAGUACUAAUAUUCUCUGAGGGGCACCAUAACAUGUGAAAAUUUUGAAGAGCUUUGUGAAGAUUUGUGGGAGCAGCUCCGACUCCAAUUAAAGAAGUUCCACGCAGCGGGCAUGAAGAUUGGUCACAUCUAUAUGUAUAGUUGUGCUGCAGGACAUGUGCUAUUUUGAAAAUGGAGCUUCUCUAUUGGAUGGCAGCUCAUGGUGGUAGUUUCAGAUAUGAAGCUAAGGAAAGCGCACCUCAUAAUUCAUUAGAUGUAACCCAAUAGGGCCCAUUAGAUAUUGUUGGUUGUAAAUGGCAUGAGUUUUUAGCUUUCAUAAAAUCUAGAUAUGUACUCUUUAACAAUAAGCUGUGGAGGAGAGUGGUCUUAAAUGUGCUGGUUGAAUUUACCAAUGUUGGUUCAUUUUGGUUUUACUGACCACAUUGCAUAGUAAGUUUAUAUAUUUGAUACAAGUCAAGACAUAUUUUACAAGAAUGAUUAUAGAUCCACCUAUGCUGGUGCUAGAUCUAUCGCUCAUGUGAAUUGUAUAAAAUAAUAUGUCAAUUCUGCACUUAGAA